GACGAACGCUGGCGGCGUGCUUAACACAUGCAAGUCGAACGGAAAGGCCCUGCGUUUGUGGGGUGCUCGAGUGGCGAACGGGUGAGUAACACGUGAGUAACCUGCCCUUGACUUUGGGAUAACUUCAGGAAACUGGGGCUAAUACCGGAUAGGAGCUCCUGCUGCAUGGUGGGGGUUGGAAAGUUUCGGCGGUUGGGGAUGGACUCGCGGCUUAUCAGCUUGUUGGUGGGGUAGUGGCUUACCAAGGCUUUGACGGGUAGCCGGCCUGAGAGGGUGUCCGGCCACAUUGGGACUGAGAUACGGCCCAGACUCCUACGGGAGGCAGCAGUGGGGAAUAUUGCACAAUGGGCGGAAGCCUGAUGCAGCAACGCCGCGUGCGGGAUGACGGCCUUCGGGUUGUAAACCGCUUUCGCCUGUGACGAAGCGUGAGUGACGGUAAUGGGUAAAGAAGCACCGGCUAACUACGUG
rnacentral:rRNA from 1 species